GGAGCUGUGGCUCAGGGGUAGAGCGGUUGAUGCACGUGACCCGUCCCUGGCUCGUUGAUUGGCUGAAAUAACUAACCUUUUCUACAGUGCAAAUUUGCGAUGAUCAAUAGGUCCCGUGUUCGAUCCACGGCAGUUCCU